rnacentral:rRNA from 1 species
AGAUUGAACGCUGGCGGCGUGCCUAACACAUGCAAGUCGAGCGGUAACAGGUGUAGCAAUACAUGCUGACGAGCGGCGGACGGGUGAGUAACGCUUGGGAAUCUGCCUGUUAGUGGGGGACAACCCGGGGAAACUCGGGCUAAUACCGCAUACGCACUACGGUGGAAAGCCGGGGACCGCAAGGCCUGGCGCUAACAGAUGAGCCAAAGUCGGAUUAGCUAGUUGGUAGGGUAACGGCCUACCAAGGCGACGAUCCGUAACUGGUCUGAGAGGACGACCAGUCACACCGGAACUGAGACACGGUCCGGACUCCUACGGGAGGCAGCAGUAGGGAAUAUUGGACAAUGGGCGAAAGCCUGAUCCAGCCAUGCCGCGUGAGUGAAGAAGGCCUUAGGGUUGUAAAGCUCUUUUGGCGGGGAAGAUAAUGACGGUACCCGCAGAAUAAGCUCCGGCUAACUUCGUGCCAGCAGCCGC